rnacentral:sRNA from 1 species
UUCUUUUUUUCCUUCUUCUUCCAACGGAACGGAACAUAUGGC